GCUUUUUUGCUCUAGGACACAUGCAGCCAGAGGUACAGAGAUGAUGGCAAUAACAGCAGAGACACUGAUGCCAUAUGCCAGACAGUCCCUGAACAGUGGCCAGCACGUAAGACGGCAUGCCUGAAUAAGGAUAAAGAAAGAAGACAAAAAGGUCAGGAGUCCACAUGCAGCACAGAUUCCUAGGAGGUUGUAAACUGCUGAUCCCACUAUGGUGCUCACUCCAAUGUCGCCC